CCAGCGACGCCGCGUGAGGGAAGACAGCCUUCGGGUUGUAAACCUCUGUUGCAGGGGAAGAAGAAGUGACGGUACCCUGCGAGAAGCUCCGGCUAACUACGUGCCAGCAGCCGCGGUAAUACGUAGGGAGCGAGCGUUGUCCGGAAUUACUGGGCGUAAAGGGCGCGUAGGCGGCGCUUCAAGUCGUCUGUCAAAAGCCGAGGCUCAACCUCGGCGCGCAGACGAAACUGGAGAGCUUGAGAAGCAGAGAGGCAAACAGAAUUCCUGGUGUAGCGGUGAAAUGCGUAGAUAUCAGGAAGAAUACCAGUGGCGAAGGCGGUUUGCUGGCUGCAUACUGACGCUGAAGCGCGAAAGCCAGGGGAGCAAACGGGAUUAGAUACCCCGGUAGUCCUGGCAGUAAACGAUGUAUGCUGGGUGUGGGACUAGCGAUAGUUCCGUGCCGAAGUUAACGCGAUAAGCAUACCGCCUGGGAAGUACGGUCGCAAGAUUGAAACUCAAAGGAAUUGACGGGGGCCCGCACAAGCGGUGGAGCACGUGGUUUAAUUCGAUGCCAACCGAAGAACCUUACCUGGAC
rnacentral:rRNA from 1 species